rnacentral:rRNA from 1 species
CGGGGUUACUGCAUGCUCGGCGCCACUAUCCGGCACUGUCUUGCAUGUUCUUCACUGAGCGUGCUUGGCGGCCGGGACGUUUACUUUGAAAAAAUUAGAGUGCUUAAAGCAGGCAUAUAGCCUUGCAUAAUGGUGCAUGGAAUAAUGGAAUAGGACCUCGGUUCUAUUUUGUUGGUUUUCGGAAUACGAGGUAAUGAUUAAGAGGAACAGACGGGGACAUUCGUAUUGCGGCGUUAGAGGUGAAAUUCUUGGAUCGUCGCAAGACGAACUACUGCGAAAGCAUUUGUCAAGAAUGUUUUCAUUAAUCAAGAACGAAAGUUAGAGGUUCGAAGGCGAUCAGAUACCGCCCUAGUUCUAACCAUAAACGAUGCCAACCAGCGAUCCGUCGGUGUUCAUUCAAUGACUCGACGGGCAGCUUCCGGGAAACCAAAGUGCUUAGGUUCCGGGGGAAGUAUGGUUGCAAAGCUGAAACUUAAAGGAAUUGACGGAAGGGCACCACCAGGAGUGGAGCCUGCGGCUUAAUUUGACUCAACACGGGAAAACUCACCCGGUCCGGACACCGUAAGGAUUGACAGACUGAUAGCUCUUUCUUGAUUCGGUGGUUGGUGGUGCAUGGCCGUUCUUAGUUGGUGGAGUAAUUUGUCUGGUUUAUUCCGAUAACGAGCGAGACUCUAGCCUGCUAAAUAGAACGAGGAUAAACCUUUUCAUAGGUCCUCGAUGCUUCUUAGAGGAAUUAGCGG